rnacentral:lncRNA from 10 species
GCCUGUUGGCCGACUGGCCCUUCUCCACAGAUGUCAUCUUGAGCCUCUUACAGAGUUUCAGCACUGACAUUAAUGACAAGAUGGAUCACCUACAGGACAACCUUGGAUCCUCAACCAGCCUGAUUAAGCAUUGACACUGCAUUUGUCACCACCAGCUCUGAUGGUUUGGACAUGUAGAAAUGUAUUGCAGGAGAAUAUGCAAACAGCUGCUGUAAGGUGAGCUGAUCGGGACAACUGCCAGCAGGCAGAAGGGAAGGCAUAAUUAAUGGGCACCCUUCAGCAGAGCUCAGAGCAGACCAAACGCCAAUGCAGAAGGCUCAAGAAAGAGGCAAACAGACUAGCCACUGCUCCAGGAUGACUGUGGCUCUUUAUGAGUGAAGAGAAAGGGUGGAGACUGAAGACAGAACUGGGGACAGUGACAGGCUUGGGGAAGAACAGCUGAUUCAGCAGUCCCAAGGGACCUCGGUGACAACGCUGUGAACAUCUAUGGAUUCCGCAUUCAAGUACUUUGUCACAACUGUCUCCACAAUUUGAUGGGUCCACGUGCCAGCAAGAUAGAGAUACUCAUCAGGAAGUUGGCCAUGCAAGUUUGAAAUUUGAGAGAAGAAUCACAAAAAUGCAAAGGCUGUGCUCAAAUAAAAAUGAACUCCUUUGGUA